rnacentral:lncRNA from 1 species
GGCUCCCAAAAAAGGCUGUUGUUGAAACUGUCUUGAAGGGUAAAUUUGAAGAUGAAUGUGUUUAAUUACAAAAACCAUGGUUCAUUAUACUGUGUGCAGCCCUUCUGUCAGCACCUGACUGGAAGCAAAAUGGGAUAGGUUUAGAUUUAAAGGGAUCACUAGUGAAACACUGAUUUGUGCCUCCCCGCAACAGGAUAAAGAAGAAAAUCAAACCAAAAGAUUUGAUCCUAAAUAAGUUUGUUUUCCUCAAUUACAAGCCCUAAAAAAUGAAUUAACAAAUAUUUUUAUUGAAAGGAAAAGAGAAUUUGAAGGUGAAGAAAUUAAGUAACUUUGAUCUCAUAUCUGAUCUCAUAGUGUAACUUGUGCUGUUGGCUGUUGCUGGUGUUGCCCUCCUGUCCUGCACUGCUUCUGCUCUCCCUCGUGUCAGCACAUUACAGGAAACAUGGCCUCUCACACAGUAAAUAUUCAAGCUCCAUUUAUCUGUAACCUCCAGGAAAAUGAGUUCUUUAUGGCUGUUUAUAAACAUCUCCAAGGGACAUAUUGCAAGAAACUAUUAGAAAACACUGAAGCCACACAACUUUCUAUGGAAAUCAGCUUAACUGGGAAAGCUGCUUGAUCUGUGAAGUUUACCUCCAGAAGCAAACAGGAAACACAUGUACUGUUAGCAAGUAAAGGUGAACUAUGCUAUGAAGAGGAUAUAAGGGAAUUUCUGCACUCUGUGAAGCUGAGAAUUAAAGAAUACAAAUACCAUGUACCCAUCUGGAACCCUGGGAGCCAUCAUCCUUACAAGCCAUGCCCGUGGCAGAAGAGCCAGUGAUGGUUCGUCAUAUUUCCAAAAGAAGGCAUUCAGAAACUGUUUUGUUGUGAUUCUUUUUUCCACAUUCUGACUGUGCAAAGGAUACUCGUGUGCAAAUGCAUGUGUUGUUUUAAUAACGUUUUGAUGCUCUGCACUGGAAUGUUCACACUGCGUGUGAAGAAUGGCGAUUUAUGCUGCAUUUGGAAGAAGGUUCAACUGCUACCUAUAGACACUAUGGCUUUUACAGGUUACUAAAACUGUUAAAACUGAGAAAACUGUUAGAAGAAAAUACAGUAACCUGUACUGAGUCCACUGUCUGAAGUACAGAGGUACUUAUCUACUGGAGAGUGCUCAGUGGAGUGUUACAUUGACUCAUAUCCAUGUCCAUCUAGAACAGUGGAUACCAGCAGGACCUGGAAUACUAUCUUCAUAACACUCACUUUUUUAAAGCAACAUGCUGAUUUAUCUGGUUCAUUUUGUAUUAAACUCUGUAAGAACAUCAAAUGUACUGUAAACAGCAGAAGAAGAAGGAAAGGAGCUGAAACUGCUGAUGGCAGUUUGCUCAGUUAGCACUAAUAUGGUUUAGAUCUGCAUCACCUGCCCUAGAGCAAAUAAAUUACCCAAAGAUGUUUAAAAUAUGAUUUUU